AUGGGCGCAAGCCUGAUGCAGCCAUGCCGCGUGUAUGAUGAAGGCCUUCGGGUUGUAAAGUACUUUCAGCGGGGAGGAAGCCGGUGGAAUGAAUAACUUCUCCGAUUGACGUGACCCGCAGAAGAAGCACCGGCUAACUCGGG
rnacentral:rRNA from 1 species